rnacentral:tRNA from 2 species
GGGGAUGUAGCUCAAGUGGUAGAGCGCUCGCUUAGCAUGUGAGAGGCACGGGGAUCGAUACCCCGCAUCUCCA